UGGUGAUUGAAGAAUUGUUGAAGCUUUUCGUUGGUGAAGUUGAUACAGAGUUGCUCAAAGCUGUUGUACUGCUCGAGACCAAGGAGGGGAAAAGCAACGGAACAGAAAACAGAGGAACAGGACGCAUAACGGGGAUAUCGCUUAAGCACGACAUAAGUUACACGUUAUGUUUUUUCAUAAGGAAAAAAUUCUCCCGUUUCCCGUUGGUCUACUUCGACACAACUAAUAUUUUCACUUUCAUCGAUCUUGAUUUUAUCUUGAUUUUAUCCGUUAUUGCUUGUUAAAUUGGUGCUUUUAAUCGGAUCGAUCGAACGAGUCGUUAGAUUCGAAGCAGACCUACGAAGGAUCAGGGAGGUGCUAAAUGUUCGAAAAUAUGACGUAACAUUAAUUCACGUAUACGAAUGACACAAGGACAUAAAAGUUUAUCGAUCGUAUAUCGAUAAACUGUACUUCUAAAGGUUAAAGGCUAUGUUUAAAUAGAUCGAUUGAAGUAUGAUAAGACAUCGAUCGCGAUAAUUAUAACGGUCGAUGACAAGGUUUUCAUUCGAGAGAGGCACAUGACGUAUUAUUAUAAUUACGUAUAUCGGAACCCGGUUCGAAUUUCACUUUUUAAAUAAUAAAUAUACCAUGUACGAGAUUCUUCGCCAAUAAACAAAGAUUGUCUACAUUUUUUUAAGUA